CGCGGCGUGCCCCGCGGCCCUCCCCGCCACCGCAGCCCGCCUCUCCUCUCCAGUCCUCACCUCAGAGCUCAGACCAUGGAUCUCGUGGCGCCGGCGGCCGCACGCCCGCUGCACCGGAUCUGAAGCUUCUCCUCCCCCUCUUCCUCACCCCGGUCAGAUCUUCUUCGUCUCGUGUUCCUCCCCGCGCCGCCGGCCGCUGGUCCCCGACCUCAUCCCACCAUGGAUUUGACACCCCCGUGCUCUUCUUCUCUUCAGGAUCGACUUCCUUCUCAAUAGUGAAAUUUCUUCUGUUGUUCAAGUGAGAGAAACAUGCAGAGUCCUUCUCAGGGAGGAGUUCGAGGACAGUCUUGAAAAUCCAGAUCCGGUACCUUUGGCGUUGUUGACGACAGACCAAGCUAACCUUGCGGUUCAGGCGGACUCGAAUGUUGGAUCUGGAUGCGGGUAGCAAAUUGGCGGCGGUGGUACUGAGAGGGCGAACUGCAGCGAGCGGUGUCGUCGAGGGGCUUCGCCGACAGCAUCCGCAGUUAACGUACAGGGUCAACCCUCAUGCCCCUGGUUGGUCUAAGAGGUCUCCCCAUCAUCAGGAGUUGAAAAAACAGCCUGGAACAUCCAGAUCCAGUGCCCCUAGUCCUGUUGCCACUGCACAAGGCGAAGCCGACGAGUGCUGGAGGAUUUGAACUGCGUGUCUGGCUAUGUGCAAGAGGUCAGUGGCCGCAGCCAGUGAAGAGCAGGAGGUGAGGUCCGUCGAAGGAAGAAUGCUUCCCCGGCUCAGUCCGCACAAUCCACAUUAAAGGUUAACCCGGAGGCACCAUGAUGGACUAAAAGGUGAUUUUCUCACUUUUUUCGUCUGAACCGCCAUGACGUUAUGAUACAGUAGAUUGCAGCUAAGCAGACAUGGUACUAUUUUACAAAUUGCUUCAGAUAAUGGCAUCCUGUAGGGUGCUAUUUUUGCUUAUAUCCCUGCAGAUCCAGCAGUUGUUGGCAUAGCAAAUGUAUAUGUGUGUGCAUGUGGCAACUGAUUCGAUUCGCAACAGUAAGUCAGGAACCACCUGAGCGGCUUGGUUGGCUUGCUGAACACCGGCUAGCGCCUGUGCCCGGCGGUCUGAACCGAAGUGAGCCUACGAACAUACAAAUCCUGGAACUUGGAGAAAGGGCAUCCACGUGACUGGUGGAACAAGAAAGCCAAAUCAGAAAUCUGUGGGGGAGAUCAACAUGACUUGAAAUAAAUUAGUAGAAAAUGUAUCCAGGCUUCUCCCCGCUUCCGAGCUAUAUUUUUCACCAGCUCAUGGCCACCGAAAAGGCAUGAUGUGAAAGGAAGAAGACCUGAGUAGGGACAUCAGUGGUUGUUUGGAUUAGGAGAAUUUAAGUUGGGUCGUUAGAAAACCAGUUUUAGGAGAAAUUUUAGGAAAACUAGUUUUAGUUGUUUUUUUGUUACGCAAUUCUUUGUUUGGAUCAAGAAACCACUUUGACAAAACUCUGUUUGGGUUAAAUCCUUCGAAGAACCACUUUAUUAGACGCCUGACCCUCGCUCCAUUGUAUGGGCAUCGGCAUGGUUCUGUCUGCCGUGGUCAUGCUCAGUGCCGAGAGCUGUACAUCGCCGCUAGCGGCGCCUCCAUGUCCGUGGAGCAUCGUGUCACUGCUAUUGGUGUUCUAGCUAGUGCCACAAGCUGCGGCGUUGUGCCUCUCGGAAGGCGUUCAAUCAGCUGAGCCAGAUGGCGUUCCGAUACAAAUUGUUCAUGUAGAACAUGCCCAGCAUUGCCAGCUCGCUACUGUUCUGUGGCCAGGCGCUAUCAAAACUACCAAAGCAGGCUCCUGUGCACUUGAGGAGGGUCAGGUGGACCAAACUGGCUUGGUUUACUUGUAUUUUGGUUUCGAACAAAAAAACUCUGAAUAUAUAGCUUCUUUGACACAUAUAUUGACAGUGGUGUCAUGGAGACAUGUUGGAAGAAAUGAUACAUGUCCCUCUGUUAAUGAUAUGGUUGUAAAUUACUGCAUGUGAUUUCUAAUUUUAGAAUGUUGAGUAGACUAUUGUUGUAGAUCAAUAAAUUUUAUGAAACUUACGUUUGGUAGUGUUUUUGAAUCGGCAUGCCUGAUCAGGUUUUCUGAAUUUGGUUAUGUGGUGACAACACGUGUCCCUUUGUUAUGAGUGUACCCGUGGUGUGCAGCUUGUUGGGGUGCGCCAUGUGCUUUCCUUGUGUAAUUUUCUUAAGAUUUUCGCCUUAAGAUAACUUAAUUGCAUUGCUCGUGUCUCAGGUCCAUAAUUUGUAUUUUCUUCCAAUUCUUCUAACUUUCUUCUUUCCCAUUUUACAGAUUUGCUUAAGAUCACGUAAGCUUGGGUUGGUGGAGUGCUUGUAUUUAGUUUUUGUUUUGACCUUGUGAAACUUGCUACCUAUGGAUGAAACUGUGUAAUAUUGAUGAAACUAUGUAUAUGUAUGGAUGAAACUUGCUACUAUUGUUAACAUGUGUUGGAU
rnacentral:rRNA from 1 species